rnacentral:rRNA from 1 species
UACGAAGGGGGCUAGCGUUGUUCGGAAUUACUGGGCGUAAAGAGCGUGUAGGCGGCCAUGUAGGUCCGUUGUGAAAACUCGAGGCUCAACCUCGAGACGCCGAUGGAAACCAUGUGGCUAGAGUCCGGAAGAGGAGAGUGGAAUUCCCGGUGUAGCGGUGAAAUGCGCAGAUAUCGGGAAGAACACCCGUGGCGAAGGCGGCUCUCUGGGACGGUACUGACGCUGAGACGCGAAAGCGUGGGGAGCGAACAGG